rnacentral:rRNA from 1 species
CCUUGACAUACUAAGAACUUUCCAGAGAUGGAUUGGUGCCUUCGGGAACUUAGAUACAGGUGCUGCAUGGCUGUCGUCAGCUCGUGUCGUGAGAUGUUGGGUUAAGUCCCGNAACGAGCGCAACCCUUUUCCUUAUUUGCCAGCGGGUCAUGCCGGGAACUUUAAGGAUACUGCCAGUGACAAACUGGAGGAAGGCGGGGACGACGUCAAGUCAUCAUGGCCCUUACGGCCAGGGCUACACACGUGCUACAAUGGUCGGUACAAAGGGUUGCUACCUCGCGAGAGGAUGCUAAUCUCAAAAAGCCGAUCGUAGUCCGGAUCGCAGUCUGCAACUCGACUGCGUGAAGUCGGAAUCGCUAGUAAUCGCGGAUCAGAAUGCCGCGGUGAAUACGUUCCCGGGCCUUGUACACACCGCCCGUCACACCAUGGGAGUUUGUUGCACCAGAAGUAGGUAGUCUAACCGCAAGGAGGACGCUUACCACGGUGUGGCCGAUGACUGGGGUGAAGUCGUAACAAGGUAGGCGUAGAUGA